rfam:Salmo salar isolate Sally breed double haploid chromosome ssa03, whole genome shotgun sequence.
GCUGUGACGGCCGAGUGGUUAAGGCGUUGGCCUCGAAAUCCAAUGUGGUCUCCCCGCGCAGCUUCGAACCCUGCUCGCAGCG